GAUCAUGGCUCAGAUUGAACGCUGGCGGCAGGCCUAACACAUGCAAGUCGAACGGUAACAGGAAGCAGCUUGCUGCUUUGCUGACGAGUGGCGGACGGGUGAGUAAUGUCUGGGAAGCUGCCUGAUGGAGGGGGAUAACUACUGGAAACGGUAGCUAAUACCGCAUAACGUCGCAAGACCAAAGAGGGGGGACCUUCGGGCCGUCUUGCCAUCGGAUGUGCCCACGAUGGGAGUUAG
rnacentral:rRNA from 1 species